rnacentral:rRNA from 1 species
UGGACCUUAAAGCGGCGGACUGGUGAGUACGCGUGGGUGAUCUGCCUUAAGGAUGGGGAUAGCCGUUAGAAAUAACGGAUAAUACCGAAUACGAUCGUCCGGCUGUGGUCGGAUGAUGAGAGGUGCUACGUGCACCGCCUUGAGAUGAGCCCGCGUCCCAUUAGCUAGUUGGUAAGAGUAAAGGCUUACCAAGGCGAAGAUGGGUAGCCGGCCUGAGAGGGUGAACGGCACACUGGGACUGAGAUACGGCCCAGGCUCCUACGGGAGGCAGCAGCUAAAGAAUAUUCCGCAAUGGACGAAAGUCUGACGGAGCGACGCCGCGUGGAUGAGGAAGGCCGAAAGGUUGUAAAAUCCUUUUGCAGACGAAGAAUAAGUGCGGUAGGGAAUGACCGCAUGAUGACGUUAGUCUGCGAAUAAGCCCCGGCUAAUUAC